rnacentral:rRNA from 1 species
UACAGAGGGUGCGAGCGUUGUUCGGAAUUAUUGGGCGUAAAGGGCGCGUAGGCGGUGCCACAAGUCACUUGUGAAAUCUCCGAGCUUAACUCGGAAACUGCCAUUGAUACUAUAGGUCUUGAAUUAUCUGGAGGUAAGCGGAAUAUGUCAUGUAGCGGUGAAAUGCUUAGAUAUGACAUAGAACACCAAUUGCGAAGGCAGCUUACUACGGAUAUAUUGACACUGAGGCACGAAAGCGUGGGGAUCAAACAGG